UUACACUUGAUAUAUAUGAGUAUUAAGG
rnacentral:sRNA from 1 species